rnacentral:rRNA from 1 species
UGGUAGGGAUGAUUAUUGGGCUUAAAGCGUCCGUAGCCGGCUUAGCAAGUCUCCUGUUAAAUUCAGCGACCUAAUCGUUGAGCCGCGGGAGAUACUACUAGGCUAGGAGGCGGGAGAGGCCGACGGUACUUCCGGGGUAGGGGUGAAAUCCUAUAAUCCCGGGCGGACCACCAGUGGCGAAG